AACUGGCUUCAAGCUGUCCACUAGCCCAAGCUCUCAAAAAAAACAGGUGUUCUCUGAGACUGUCCUUCUCCAAAUAAGUGUCAUUGCCUUUCACUGUAAUGUUUCAAAAUUUCUGUGUGAUGUUUGGUUAAUGCAGGGUGAUCUAUUGGUUCAUUUUGAAGGGGCAACCAUAUGUCUGAACAUCAGUCUCUGUCUUAUGUUACUGGUAGCAUGAUUGAGUAUCUGGGCUCAAAGUUUUCAGAAACUUCUCUACAUAAGGGAAACAGAUGCUUGCCCCAGACACCACUUACAUGUGUUUCCAAGUUACUUAAAUUUCCUACAGUUGUGCAAGUCUGUCUAUGUGCAGGCAAUCUUCUUGCAGAUCUGCUUCAGGACCUGUGAUGGAAAAUUCCAGUACUGGUCAGCCUAGGGGACUGUCAAGUGAAGAGUGGAUCUGAAAGCAACUAGACAAGUAAGAGCAAACUUACGUUAUGUGUGACCACAUGUGCUGAGCAGAGGGUUGGACCCCUUCCCUGUCACCUGUAGCAUAAUUGAAGAUGGUAUCCAAAUGUCUUUCCUGGGUCUCUAAGAGAACAAUGUCAAGGUCUCUCACUGGACACUGCUUGCUAAUUUUGUGGUAGAAACUGUUAAUGGAAUCAGUUCCUACAACAAGACUGUGGUAUCUUUUGCCAGAUCUUAAUCAUGUUCCUCUGUUCAUUGUGGGUGCCUCUGCUGCAGAAACAUUGAUUUUUAGAAUGUCAGUUUUCAAAAUAACCUGAUUUUGACAGUUUAGCAUCAGAAGGCCAAUCUGUCUUUUUAUUCUCAUUGGAAACUCUUGCAGUAGCUGGCAGCAGUGAGAUGGACUGGAUUGGCCUGUUGAAAACAGACCUCAUGAAUGUGGAAUUUGCACUGCUUGGAUGCCUUUUUUUCCUGGUAUGACAGCAUGGAUCUGAAGGGCCAGCAAGUUAACUCAGGAGUUACUCAAGCACAUCAUUGGAAACCACAUGUCUUUAGUCCUGCUGUGAAGCAAGAGGCAGCCCAGGACUCCAGGUUUUUCCUUUCUGGGAGUGAUAUUCUGCUCUGCUCAACUAGGACACCUCACGUGGAGGCUGACGUAGCUUCUCAUCUGCACCUGUGAGGACUUUCCCGAGUGUGAACUUUGUGGAGGCCAGAAGGUGACUGUUACCUGGGCAGUGCCAGAAAGGUCUCUACUCUUUCUCUUUCUAUAUAAAGUUACUUCUUCUCUGUGUGGUGAUUAAUUUGUCAACAUUCAGGUGAAGUCAUUUGCUCAUUUGAAAGGGGAGGAGAAAAUGUUCAAUAGAAAUAUGCACUGUUUGAAAUGUUCUCAAAGAGACUUCUAACCUUUAGUCUCAAU
rnacentral:lncRNA from 1 species